UACAGGGGGUGCAAACGUUGCUCGGAAUCAUUGGGCGUAAAGCGCACGUAGGCGGUUCGUUAUGUCGGAUGUGAAAGCCCUUGGCUUAACCGAGGAAGUGCAUCCGAAACUGGCGAGCUAGAGUACGAAAGAGGAUCGCGGAAUUCCCGGUGUAGAGGUGAAAUUCGUAGAUAUCGGGAGGAACACCGGUGGCGAAGGCGGCGAUCUGGGUCGAUACUGACGCUGAGGUGCGAAAGCGUGGGGAGCAAAUAGG
rnacentral:rRNA from 1 species